rnacentral:rRNA from 1 species
CCGCACAAGCGGUGGAGCAUGUGGUUAAUUCGAUGAUACGCGAAGAACCUUACCGGGGUUUGACAUGCAGGUGAUCGCCGUUGAAACGACGGUUUCCUCUUCGGAGGCACCUGCACAGGUGCUGCAUGGCUGUCGUCAGCUCGUGUCGUGAGAUGUUGGGUUAAGUCCCGCAACGAGCGCAACCCUUAUCCCCAGUUGCCAUCAGGUAAAGCUGGGAACUCUGGGGAGACUGCCGGUGAUAAACCGAGGAAGGCGGGGAUGACGUCAAGUCCUCAUGGCCCUUACAUCCCGGGCUACACACGUGCUACAAUGGCAGGUACAGAGGGCUGCAAAGCCGCGAGGUAGAGCGAAUCCCAGAAAACCUGUCUCAGUCCGGAUUGAAGUCUGCAACUCGACUUCAUGAAGGCGGAAUCGCUAGUAACCGCGAAUCAGCAGGUCGCGGUGAAUACGUUCCCGGGCCUU